rnacentral:rRNA from 1 species
UACGUAGGGCGCAAGCGUUGUCCGGAAUUACUGGGCGUAAAGGGUGCGUAGGCGGGUCUUUAAGUCAGGGGUGAAAUCCUGGAGCUCAACUCCAGAACUGCCUUUGAUACUGAAGAUCUUGAGUUCGGGAGAGGUGAGUGGAACUGCGAGUGUAGAGGUGAAAUUCGUAGAUAUUCGCAAGAACACCAGUGGCGAAGGCGGCUCACUGGCCCGAUACUGACGCUGAGGCACGAAAGCGUGGGGAGCAAACAGG